rnacentral:lncRNA from 1 species
UCCGGAGGUCCUCGACAUACAGAGCCACCUGGCCCAUGGGUGGGUUGUUGACCCGUCCCCCGGCUCCAAAGGCGAAGAGUCGGAACUGCUCCGAGAUACAAUACUGAUCCCGAAGUCAAUCGACAUUCGGCCCCGAAAGUGAGGAGACCUCCACUUUCGGGGUUGACUGAAGAUCAUCGGUCGGAUUCUCCGACCGAGCUUCCCGAGGAGAAGCCCUGGCCAUGAUGCCAGAACCAAGAAGAAGGAA